UUUAAGUGCAACCAUAAGUUUUCGUGCCCAAUUUUAAUUCUCCGUCUUAUUUAAUUUUUUUAUAAUUAGUAUUUUUAUUGUUAUGAGAUGAUAAAAUAUGAAUAGUACUUUACAUGUGACUUAUGUUUUUCAAAAUUUUCAAAAAAAAAAAUUAAAUAAGACGGACGGUUAAAAUUGUACACGGAAAAUCAUGGUUGCACUUAAA
rfam:Oryza rufipogon genomic scaffold, chr09